rnacentral:rRNA from 1 species
AAUGAACGCUGGCGGCGUGCCUAACACAUGCAAGUCGGAUGUGCCCGCAAGGGUGCAUGGCAGACGGGUGAGUAACGCGUGGGGAACCUACCUCUUUGUGGGGAAUAACGUUCCGAAAGGAAUGGUAAUACCGCAUGAGACCUUCGGCUGGGAUGCUGGAGGUGAAACCCGGGGACCGUAAGGCCUGGGGCAAGGAGAGGGUCCUGCGUCUGAUUAGCUAGUUGGCGGGGUAAUGGCCCACCAAGGCGACGAUCAGUAGCCGGCCUGAGAGGGUGAUCGGCCACACUGGAACUGAGACACGGUCCAGACUCCUACGGGAGGCAGCAGUGGGGAAUUUUGCGCAAUGGACGAAAGUCUGACGCAGCAACGCCGCGUGGGUGAAGAAAUCCUUCGGGAUGUAAAGCCCUGUUGUAUGGGAAGAGCGGAAGACGGUACCAUACGAGGAAGCCCCGGCAAACUACGUG